GAUGAACGCUGGCGGCGUGCCUAAUACAUGCAAGUCGAGCGAAGCGGGGACGGGUGAGUAACACGUGGAUAACCUCCUAUAAGACUGGGAUAACUUCGGGAAACCGGAGCUAAACCGGAUACUUAUAGAUGGAUCCGCGCUGCAUUAGCUAGUUGGUAAGGUAACGGCUUACCAAGGCAACGAUGCAUAGCCGACCUGAGAGGGUGAUCGGCCACACUGGAACUGAGACACGGCCCAAAAUCCUACGGGAGGCAGCAGUGGGGAAGCUUGCGCAAUGGGCGAAAGCCUGACGCAGCCAUGCCGCGUGAAUGAUGAAGGUCUUAGGAUUGUAAAAUUCUUUCACCGGGGACGCGGUACCCGGAGAAGAAGCACCGGCUAACUCCGUGCCAGCAGCCGCGGUAAUAC
rnacentral:rRNA from 1 species